rnacentral:rRNA from 1 species
AGUGGGGAAUAUUGGACAAUGGGCGCAAGCCUGAUCCAGCCAUGCCGCGUGAGUGAUGAAGGCCUUAGGGUUGUAAAGCUCUUUCAGUGGGGAAGAUAAUGACGGUACCUACAGAAGAAGCCCCGGCUAACUUCGUGCCAGCAGCCGCGGUAAUACGAAGGGGGCUAGCGUUGUUCGGAUUUACUGGGCGUAAAGCGCACGUAGGCGGUUUGUUAAGUCAGGGGUGAAAUCCUGGAGCUCAACUCCAGAACUGCCUUUGAUACUGGCAAGCUAGAGUCCGGAAGAGGUGAGUGGAACUCCUAGUGUAGAGGUGGAAUUCGUAGAUAUUAGGAAGAACACCAGUGGCGAAGGCGGCUCACUGGUCCGGUACUGACGCUGAGGUGCGAAAGCGUGGGGAGCAAA